CUCACUGUUGUGGCUCAUGGGCCUAGCCACUCUGCAGCAUGUGGGAUCUUCCCGGACCGGGGCACGAACCCGUGUCCCCUGCAUCAGCAGGCGGACUCUCAACCACUGUGCCACCAGGUCCCCAAACCAGCCAUGACUAGGUUUGCUGAGCAAGGUAUAAGAAGACAGGUAAAGAAACAUCACUGUUAUUGGACCACGCUUUUUCUCUGUGGCAAAAUAGCACCGAGGCAGCCACUGGGACCUUCUGGAAACAGACCACAAGUGAGAGCAACUGCUUGGAUCACACUCUCAGCUCCUGGCUGACCAGCAUUUCCUAUCAUAUACCCUACACAUCUGGGCCCCCGCAGAAAGUACUAGAAAGG